GAGGGGAGAGGUUUUGGGAAAACCUGCUUCAGCUGUGGGGCUACAGAAGGCAGGACCCAGGGAUGGUCUCCACCAUGGUCUGGUCCCCUCUCCUGCUCACCCUCUUGUCUCACUGCACAGGAUCCUGGGCCCAGUCUGUGGUCACUCAGCCGCCCUCAGUGUCUGGGAACCCAGGAGAGACGGUCACCAUCUCCUGCACUGGAAGCAGCUCCAACAUUGGGGGUAAUUCUGUGAAGUGGUACCAACAGCUCCCAGAAAAGGCCCCCAAAGUCCUUAUCUAUAGUAAUAGCAAUCGAUACUCAGGGGUCCCUGAUCGAUUCUCUGGCUCCAAGUCUGGCAGCUCAGCCACCCUGACCAUCUCUGGGCUCCAGGAUGAGGACGAGGCCGAUUAUUACUGCCAGACCUAUGAUGAUGAUCUCAGUGGUCCCACAGUGCUGCAGGCCUGUGGGGAAGUGAGACAAGAACCCCUGUGGCAUCUGUGAGCUGGGUGAACACUGCAGCUGCUGCUGCUCAGGCUCAGCCUGUGCCCUGUGACUUCUGCUCAUUCUCUGGCUGCUGUACUGACCCAGGUUCCCCCAGGAACACUGUCUGGGAUUGAAGGCUGCUCUGUCCUUUUUGUCCUCAGAGUCACUCACAACAGCCCUUUCCCAGACUAAGUAUCCUAAACAAAACUGGAAGUUCAUUUUCCCACAAGGUAGAGACAGUUUACUUCCAGACUGGUUUGUAUUCAGUUUUUAUUGUGAUGUUCAAAGAAAUAAAACAUUGUGUUGGGCCCCUGAACCUACCAUGGGGCCUGAGCACUGUGUGUGCUGUGUGUGAAGGAUGAGUCAGCCUGGUCUGCAUCUCGUGUUACAAUGUUCUUCAGUGUAAUCACUGCUGACUGCUGUAUCGUCUUCUGAUUCUCAGUGAAAAUAUGUCCAUGUAGAAGUGUAAAAUUAUAACAGAUUGGUAGUGUGAAGAGGUAACAGAUGAAGGAGGUGGCCCAUGUGUUCAAAGGGAGGGAAAGGGGGCCAACUUUCAGUUGGGAAAUGAAUGGUUCUGGGGACAUCAUGGACAGCACGGGAUGAGUACAGAGAUGCUAUGAUCAUGCAACUAUGAACUGCAGCUAAAUGUGCAGACUCCAGACAUUUGCAACACAAGAAUGAUAAUAUUUCUAUCGAUGUAUAGUGUCAGAUGUCAACUAGACUCACUUUUAUGGGAAUUUUUUGUAAUAUGUAUCCAUAUAGAACAAUAAUGUUGUACC